AGACAGGGGCGCGCCGCUGCAAUGCGGGGCGGCAACGGGUACUGUCGCAGAGGCAACCAGAGGAGAAUCGCUCCAUGUGGGCGAGCCCUGGGACUUGGCAUGUCCGCUGUUUUAGAGGUGAAGCAGCAUCCCAAUAUGCUUGUGAUCCAGAUAGCUCAAUUGAUCAUAUUCACGUGGCCACGCUGGAUGAAAUGUGGAUCAGUGACAACCCUGAGCACAAGGCAACCCUAAGUCACAUGCUAACAGUGGAGGAAGACAGAACAUAGGUCCCUGUGACAAUGCUCAGCUACAGAAGCCUUGGCCUGCUGCAUUGGCCGAGCACAUUUGUAAUAAAUUCAGAGUCACCAACACUGUAUCGGUGACACAAUAGGAAAAGGAGUCAAAGCCUUUCCGCUUGGUGACAUUUAACCACAAGUGAGCCCAGACUUUUGAAUUCUCUGCUCGGCUCUUCCUGUGUCUCCUGUGUCCUCUGUCCGUCCUGAGUGCUGUCCCAUGUCUGUGUGUUUCCUAAUAAAGUGCUUUGCUCUUGCUUUUAUUGA
rnacentral:lncRNA from 1 species